rnacentral:rRNA from 1 species
AUGGGAGCUUGCUCCCUGAUGUUAGCGGCGGACGGGUGAGUAACACGUGGGUAACCUGCCUGUAAGACUGGGAUAACUCCGGGAAACCGGGGCUAAUACCGGAUGGUUGUUUGAACCGCAUGGUUCAAACAUAAAAGGUGGCUUCGGCUACCACUUACAGAUGGACCCGCGGCGCAUUAGCUAGUUGGUGAGGUAACGGCUCACCAAGGCAACGAUGCGUAGCCGACCUGAGAGGGUGAUCGGCCACACUGGGACUGAGACACGGCCCAGACUCCUACGGGAGGCAGCAGUAGGGAAUCUUCCGCAAUGGACGAAAGUCUGACGGAGCAACGCCGCGUGAGUGAUGAAGGUUUUCGGAUCGUAAAGCUCUGUUGUUAGGGAAGAACAAGUACCGUUCGAAUAGGGCGGUACCUUGACGGUACCUAACCAGAAAGCCACGGCUAACUACGUGCCAGCAGCCGCGGUAAUACGUAGGUGGCAAGCGUUGUCCGGAAUUAUUGGGCGUAAAGGGCUCGCAGGCGGUUUCUUAAGUCUGAUGUGAAAGCCCCCGGCUCAACCGGGGAGGGUCAUUGGAAACUGGGGAACUUGAGUGCAGAAGAGGAGAGUGGAAUUCCACGUGUAGCGGUGAAAUGCGUAGAGAUGUGGAGGAACACCAGUGGCGAAGGCGACUCUCUGGUCUGUAACUGACGCUGAGGAGCGAAAGCGUGGGGAGCGAACAGGAUUAGAUACCCUGGUAGUCCACGCCGUAAACGAUGAGUGCUAAGUGUUAGGGGGUUUCCGCCCCUUAGUGCUGCAGCUAACGCAUUAAGCACUCCGCCUGGGGAGUACGGUCGCAAGACUGAAACUCAAAGGAAUUGACG